AAUAUUGCGCAAUGGGCGAAAGCCUGACGCAGCGACGCCGCGUGCGGGAUGAAGGCCUUCGGGUUGUAAACCGCUUUCAGCAGGGACGAAGCGAAAGUGACGGUACCUGCAGAAGAAGCGCCGGCUAACUACGUGCCAGCAGCCGCGGUAACACGUAGGGCGCAAGCGUUGUCCGGAAUUAUUGGGCGUAAAGAGCUCGUAGGUGGUCCGCUACGUCCGCUGUGAAAUUCCAGGGCUUAACCCUGGACUUGCAGUGGAUACGGGUGGACUAGAGGUAGGUAGGGGAGAAUGGAAUUCCCGGUGUAGCGGUGAAAUGCGCAGAUAUCGGGAGGAACACCGGUGGCGAAGGCGGUUCUCUGGGCCUUACCUGACACUGAGGAGCGAAAGCGUGGGGAGCGA
rnacentral:rRNA from 1 species